rnacentral:rRNA from 1 species
GACGAACGCUGGCGGCGUGCUUAACACAUGCAAGUCGAACGGAAAGGCCCUGCUUUUGUGGGGUGCUCGAGUGGCGAACGGGUGAGUAACACGUGAGUAACCUGCCCUUGACUUUGGGAUAACUUCAGGAAACUGGGGCUAAUACCGGAUAGGAGCUCCUGCUGCAUGGUGGGGGUUGGAAAGUUUCGGCGGUUGGGGAUGGACUCGCGGCUUAUCAGCUUGUUGGGGGGGUAGUGGCUUACCAAGGCUUUGACGGGUAGCCGGCCUGAGAGGGUGACCGGCCACAUUGGUACUGCGAUACGGCCCAGACGCCUACGGGAGGCAGCAGUGGGGAAUAUUGCACAAUGGGCGGAAGCCUGAUGCAGCAACGCCGCGUGCGGGAUGACGGCCUUCGGGUUGUAAACCGCUUUCGCCUGUGACGAAGCGUGAGUGACGGUAAUGGGUAAAGAAGCACCGGCUAACUACGUG